rnacentral:lncRNA from 1 species
GGACAGCAGCAGUAAAAGACCCGUGACUUCUGGGCCCUCCUGGCGCACAGUGCCCAAGUCCAAAAGCAGCAGUGCCAUCCUGCAAGACCUCAAAUCACCCACCUGGAGCAGCAGUCCACUGAGUUUGGGUCAGUCAUCACUGGUCUUUGCCUAUGUGCAUUAACCCACUAUUGCUACAAGGUGUUCAUGUCAAGUGUUUAACUGGGACAUGAAUAUUGUUGUUACUUAUUUAUUUCUUUGUGUAUGUGUAGGAGAGGGGCGCAGUGAACUGGAUGAAUUGCAGGAGGAAGUUGCUCGCAGGGCCAGGCAGCAUGAGCUCCAGAGGAAGAAGGAGAAGGAGAGAGAAGCAGAACAGGGCUUCAACCCUAGACCCAGCAAGUUCAUGGACCUGGACGAACUUCAGCACCAGGCUAAACUAAGAUUUUCCAUGCAUGAGGGCAGUGCUAACACUCAUAGCAGGACUAUGGCUGCUGACGCCAAGCUACAAAAAUGCAUGAGGAGAGCGCGGGGCCUACAGCAGCGCAUGCAGCAACAGCAAGAGCAGCAGCAGGAGCCCAGCCGCCCACAGGGGGCCCACCAGUGAACAGCCUGGCCCGGUCCAAGUAUUGUUGACAGACAAUCAGGAAGAGGUCUUUGAGACCAAUCAGGAUUCUGUGCUUGGCUCAGCCUCUCCUCAACACAUGAAAUCACCCUCUUCUUGUACAGACAAAUACAACCCCCGGCCUGCCUUUUCUCAGCCACAGCCCCAAGAGCAUGAUGAACGCAGCAAUUGGUCGACCCAGAGUGAGAACGAAUGGGGUGGCAUCAGAUUAUCAGAUGUUCUCCAAGCAUCAGGCAUUCGGAUCAUGCCCAUACGCAAGCACCUUGCCAUAUCUCUACCCUCUUUGCCCCUUGACUUCUGGGAUGUAUUGGGAGAGGACGAAGAAGUCUCCAGCUGUCAGCACCCUCAAUCUCCAAAUCCUCCUUUGUGGCAGGGCACUGCAAAUAGUCUGGACCGGAUACUCCAAUCCAGCAAUACCAGUUCACCACCCGACCCUGUUGAGGAGAAGGGGCCAGUGCCCCAGCGAGCCCCCAUAUGGCAGACCCUGUGUGCAUCUUCUCAGCCCUGCACCAAAUUGACCCCUCCUGUUGCUGCCCGUCAUUGGUCCUCUUGGAGCCUAGACCGUCCAGAUGCUGUUGUCAACCCCUACAACACACCUUCUGAACAGAACCAGCGGACAGGACCUGCCAUUUCUCAACAAACACCUGGAAGACACCUUGUUCCUCACAGUCCCAUGAGCACCAGAAAGAAGAACAUCCCUAAGUACGCAAAAUCCAAAGCACGGAGUUGGAACCCACAGAGGCCGAGGACCAGGAACUCUCUGAAUUGGACUCACUUUACCAGGCCAGUCUGCAGGCUGGCCCGGGUCCUGGCCGUGCCCUGCGUGGUACCAGCUCGCCUGCUCUUGCGAGACCAGUACCUCCAGCUGCACGAAAGCUGCUCACUGGAGUUGGACGCUCUAGGACCCCCACAGCUGAGCUUGAGAGAACUGCUUAUGGACCACCAGGUUGUUGCAGCCCUACUGGAUACAUGA